rnacentral:rRNA from 1 species
CCUGCCUGGUAGCGGGGGAUAACUAUUGGAAACGAUAGCUAAUACCGCAUAACAGUAGAUAUCGCAUGAUAGCUGCUUGAAAGGUGCAAAUGCAUCACUACCAGAUGGACCUGCGUUGUAUUAGCUAGUUGGUGAGGUAACGGCCCACCAAGGCAACGAUACAUAGCCGACCUGAGAGGGUGAUCGGCCACACUGGGACUGAGACACGGCCCAG